AAGUGAGGACGACCUCACCGCUCAAACAUUGAUCGGUGACGACCCCG
rnacentral:ncRNA from 1 species